rnacentral:rRNA from 1 species
UUCGGGGACAUUGGUGACAGGUGGUGCAUGGUUGUCGUCAGCUCGUGUCGUGAGAUGUUGGGUUAAGUCCCGCAACGAGCGCAACCCUUGUCUUUAGUUGCCAUCAUUAAGUUGGGCACUCUAGAGAGACUGCCAGGGAUAACCUGGAGGAAGGUGGGGAUGACGUCAAAUCAUCAUGCCCCUUAUGCUUAGGGCUACACACGUGCUACAAUGGGUAGUACAGAGGGUUGCCAAGCCGUAAGGUGGAGCUAAUCCCUUAAAGCUACUCUCAGUUCGGAUUGUAGGCUGAAACUCGCCUACAUGAAGCUGGAGUUACUAGUAAUCGCAGAUCAGAAUGCUGCGGUGAAUGCGUUCCCGGGUCUUGUACACACCGCCCGUCACACCACGGGAGUUGGAGACGCCCGAAGCCGAUUAUCUAACCUUUUGGAAGAAGUCGUCGAAGGUGGAAUCAAUAACUGGGGUGAAGUCGUAACAAGGUAGCCGUAUCGGAAGGUGCGGCUGGAUCACCUCCUUU